rnacentral:rRNA from 1 species
UACGAAGGGGGCUAGCGUUGCUCGGAAUCACUGGGCGUAAAGGGUGCGUAGGCGGGUCUUUAAGUCAGAGGUGAAAUCCUGGAGCUCAACUCCAGAACUGCCUUUGAUACUGAGGAUCUUGAGUACGGGAGAGGUGAGUGGAACUGCGGAGUGUAGAGGUGAAAUUCGUAGAUAUUCGCAAGAACACCAGUGGCGAAGGCGGCUCACUGGCCCGUUACUGACGCUGAGGCACGAAAGCGUGGGGAGCAAACAGG